UAAUACAUGCAAGUCGAACGCGUCUCCGUUAAUGAUUUUAGGUGCUUGCACUUGAAAGAUUUAACAUUGAGACGAGUGGCGAACUGGUGAGUAACACGUGGGUAACCUGCCCUUGAAGUAGGGGAUAACACUUGGAAACAGGUGCUAAUACCGUAUAACAACCAAAACCACCUGGUUUUGGUUUAAAAGACGGCUUCGGCUGUCACUUUAGGAUGGACCCGCGGCGUAUUAGCUUGUUGGUAAGGUAACGGCUUACCAAGGCGAUGAUACGUAGCCGACCUGAGAGGGUAAUCGGCCACAUUGGGACUGAGACACGGCCCAAACUCCUACGGGAGGCAGCAGUAGGGAAUCUUCCACAAUGGACGAAAGUCUGAUGGAGCAACGCCGCGUGAGUGAUGAAGGGUUUCGGCUCGUAAAACUCUGUUGUUGGAGAAGAACAGGUGUCAGAGUAACUGUUGACAUCUUGACGGUAUCCAACCAGAAAGCCACGGCUAACUACGUGCCAGCAGCCGCGGUAAUACGUAGGUGGCAAGCGUUGUCCGGAUUUAUUGGGCGUAAAGCGAGCGCAGGCGGUUUUUUAGGUCUGAUGUGAAAGCCUUCGGCUUAACCGGAGAAGUGCAUCGGAAACCGGGAGACUUGAGUGCAGAAGAGGACAGUGGAACUCCAUGUGUAGCGGUGAAAUGCGUAGAUAUAUGGAAGAACACCAGUGGCGAAGGCGGCUGUCUGGUCUGUAACUGACGCUGAGGCUCGAAAGCAU
rnacentral:rRNA from 1 species